rnacentral:rRNA from 1 species
UACGGAAGAUGCGAGCGUUAUCCGGAUUUAUUGGGUUUAAAGGGAGCGUAGGCGGGCUUUUAAGUCAGCGGUCAAAUGUCGUGGCUCAACCAUGUCAAGCCGUUGAAACUGGGUGUCUUGAGUGAGCGAGAAGUAUGCGGAAUGCGUGGUGUAGCGGUGAAAUGCAUAGAUAUCACGAAGAACUCCGAUUGCGAAGGCAGCCUGCUGGACUGUAACUGACGCUGAUGCUCGAAAGUGUGGGUAUCAAA